rnacentral:miRNA from 2 species
GGCGUAGAGCGACUAAGGAACC